UUAAUUGAAGCCAAAGAAAGAGGCAAUUCAUUGUUAAUGAACCAAAUGGUAAUUUAUUUACCCUUUUAAA
rnacentral:tRNA from 1 species